rnacentral:lncRNA from 1 species
GUGAACAGUAAAAUAACUUUUCAAAAAACACACGGUCGCGCCAUCUAAUCAUGAACAAACUCGACUGAUGGUUCAAAGCAUUUGACGGGAUUGAAGAAACUUAGUUUAGAUCUCACAAUGACAAUUAGACAGAGGACUAGCACGGCCAAACAACUAGAUAUGCUGUCAACAAUGAAGUGAAAUAUCCAAGCAACAUUAUCAUUUUGAUGCUAAACAAAUUCGACUAAACCGGUAAUUGACACAUGAAUCGGUAACAUGAAUUAAGCACAGUGGACAAAUAAUGAUCAUACAGCGAUGCCGAGAUCAAUGAGAUCAUUUACACUCAAAGUCAACAACGCGAAUAGGAGCCCUUGAAGGAGUUAACAAGCACGUAGUUCUCGAAACAGAGAGGUUACCCUCCAAUGGAACUGAAGUUCGACACUAAACAACAAAGACGAACAGAUUUAAGCAAUAAACCAAAACGAUAAUAGAAGUGCUGCCAACAUUAACUAGUCAUUCCAACUUCCUUAAUUCGAAAUAAACCACCAAACCAACCAUUAGUAUGCCAAGAGAUUAACUGAAUUUUCUGAAUAAUGAAACUCGACGUGAAUCCACGAGCAAACUAGCAUACAAGAAUGAGCGAAACAACAGAUCGAACUUUCACUAAAUCAACGCAACUAAACCAAUUCAAAUUAAGCCACAGUUUAACCAAUCGAACUCUUAUUGAGAAUCAACUUCAAGCAUAUCCAGCAGACAAGAAUGCAAAGUCAAGCAGAAGAUCAGAACAUUACUCAAUAGAAAUAGGGUGCCUUGUGACAAAACAGAAUAUCAAGUCUCUUGCACCUACAAAUCAGUAUCAGGAAUCACUCCCAAAUUUAACCUCUAUUGAAAUAUGACCAAAGAUCUAGCCCUCCAAAAACGAAUUCCCUACGGCUCUUAUCAUGUUUUAAUAACACCAAAUAUAGAACAAAGAAAGGAUCAGAGAGGAACCUGAAAUUAGCUUCGAUUAAAUUCGAUAUCCAGAAAAUGAGAUGUGCCAAUACAAAAUCAAAUGCCCAGAAUACAGCUACGAAUUCAGCAACAAGAACCGGAAUCUGAAACCUCGAAUCGGCAACUUAAGCGAAUCAAACCUCCAUUACACCUCGGAUGCAAUCCGUGGUUGAAAACCAAAUGAAGCGCUAAUAUUAUAUAUGUUUUUUUGUGUGUUUUCUGUUUCAAAAAUCAAGAGAAGGACUAAUAGAAAAACUCUAACGUCUUAAAUUGAAAGUAGAAGAUGAAACUUUCAAAUCAGAACCGAAACCCUGGAACUUUUUUCUCCCCUUCUUUCUGUCCGAAAAUCCCAAAUAUAUAGGAAGCCUAGAAGCUUCUCCUUCCUUCCUCUCCAAGAAAACCGAAAAAUCUCCACGAAAUUCCAAGAAUCCUCCAAACAAAAAUCGGAAAAUCUCUUCUAUUGGUGAGAUAAGAGAAAUUGAGGGAGUAGAUCGAGUGCAACUCAAUCCUACGCACCCCAUUUUUCCUAUUUUCGCCUAAAAGAGGUAAAUUCAAAGAUGAAAAAUAGGAAGAAAACGCGUAAAAAUGACCAUGAGGGGACCAGGAGGCGAGUUGGGUGAGUGGACUCGCCCGAUUCCGGCGAGUUUGAGAAGCUGGCGCGGUAGAAUCAUUAGGGUGAGGGUGUGCGGCUGCUUGGAAGAGGGGGAUUAGGGU